GCGGCGGUGACGAGCGGGUGGGCGCCGGACAGCUGGAGGGCGCGGCCGGCGCGGCAGAUCCCGGAGUACCCGGACGCGGCGGCGCUCGGGGAGGCGGAGCGCACGCUGGCGUCCUUCCCGCCGCUGGUGUUCGCGGGGGAGGCGUGGACGCUGGAGGAGCGCCUCGGGGAGGCGGCCAUGGGCCGGGCGUUCCUCCUGCAGGGCGGCGACUGCGCCGAGAGCUUCAAGGAGUUCGGCGCCAACAACAUCCGCGACACCUUCCGCCUCAUGCUCCAGAUGGCCGUCGUCCUCACCUUCGGGGGCCAGAUGCCCAUCAUCAAGGUUGGAAGGAUGGCAGGCCAAUUUGCAAAGCCAAGAUCGAACCCAAUCGAGACUAGAGAUGGAGUGACGCUGCCGUCCUAUCAAGGUGACAUCAUCAACCACGAUGAUUUCGAUGAGAAAUCGCGUGCACCAAACCCUCAAAGGUUGAUUAGAGCCUACAGUCAGUCUGCGAGCACCCUGAAUCUUUUGAGAGCAUUUGCCCAUGGAGGAUAUGCUGAUCUUCAGUACUUUCUGAGGCACAGCACGCAGGGAGACAGGUAUGUGGAGCUUGCCCAGAGGGUUCAUGACGCCAUCGGGUUCCUGCUUGCUGCUGGUCUGCCUCCUCAGCAUCCCAUGAUGACCACAGCUGAAUUCUGGACAUCCCAUGAGUGCCUUCACUUGCCAUAUGAUCAGGCACUGACCAGGGAGGACUCCACUUCUGGCCUCUAUUACGACUGCUCCGCACACAUGCUCUGGGUUGGGGAGAGAACUAGGCAGCUGGAUGGUGCUCAUGUUGAAUUCCUCCGCGGUAUUUCCAAUCCUGUCGGCAUAAAGGUGAGUGAUAAGCUUGAUUCAUCGGAGCUUGUGAAACUCUGUGAGAUUUUGAAUCCUCACAACAAGCCCGGGAGGCUGACACUUAUCACAAGGAUGGGGGCCGAGAACAUGCGUGCCAAGCUCCCCCAUAUGAUCAGAGCCGUGCGUCAAGCAGGGCUGAUUGUCACCUGGGUCUGCGAUCCCAUGCACGGGAACACCAUCAGCGCACCUUGCGGGCUCAAGACAAGAUCAUUUGAUGCAAUCCGGGCUGAGCUUCGGGCUUUCUUUGAUGUACAUGAGCAAGAGGGGAGCUACCCCGGAGGGGUUCACCUAGAGAUGACAGGGCAGAACGUUACAGAGUGCAUUGGUGGAUCCAACACAGUGACCUUCGACGAUCUCAGUUCCCGCUACCGCACGCACUGCGACCCCAGGCUGAACGCGUCGCAGUCGCUCGAGCUGGCAUUUGCCAUUGCUGAGAGGCUAAGGGAGAAGAGAGACAGGACAUGGACUAGCCUGAUAUCUAAAGUAGAAGCUUAA
rnacentral:rRNA from 1 species